UCUCCGUAGGUGAACCUGCGGAGGGAUCAUUACAGAGUUCAUGCCCUACCGGGUAGAUCUCCCAUCCUAUGUUAUUAUUACUUUGUUGCUUUGGCGGGCCGUUAGGCUCCGGCCCGACUACCGGCCCCGGCUGGUAAGCGCCCGCCAGAGGACCCAAAACCCUGAAUAUUAGUGUCGUCUGAGUACUAUAUAAUAGUUAAACCUUUCAACAACGGAUCUCUUGGUUCUG
rnacentral:misc_RNA from 1 species